GACGAACGCUGGCGGCGUGCUUAACACAUGCAAGUCGAACGGAAAGGCCCUGCUUUUGUGGGGUGCUCGAGUGGCGAACGGGUGAGUAACACGUGAGUAACCUGCCCUUGACUUUGGGAUAACUUCAGGAAACUGGGGCUAAUACCGGAUAGGAGCUCCUGCUGCAUGGUGGGGGUUGGAAAGUUUCGGCGGUUGGGGAUGGACUCGCGGCUUAUCAGCUUGUUGGUGGGGUAGUGGCUUACCAAGGCUUUGACGGGUAGCCGGCCUGAGAGGGUGACCGGCCACAAUGGGACUGGGGUACGGCCCAGACUCCUACGGGAGGCAGCAGUGGGGAAUAUUGCACAAUGGGCGGAAGCCUGAUGCAGCAACGCCGCGUGCGGGAUGACGGCCUUCGGGUUGUAAACCGCUUUCGCCUGUGACGAAGCGUGAGUGACGGUAAUGGGUAAAGAAGCACCGGCUAACUACGCG
rnacentral:rRNA from 1 species